rnacentral:rRNA from 1 species
CUUGUUCAAACCCAAUCCCGUACGUACGCAGUUGCAGCGACCUAAAAUUCCCCUCCACAAUGGCGGCGACGGCGCCGGGCCAGAUCCCUCAACCAAUCUAGGCGAGUACGCACCCCGGAGGUGAUGUUCCAUCUCUCCGAUGGCUCGUGCCCGCUGUGCCACCGAUGGCCCAGUUUGACCAGAUCGGAGCUCGUUGAGUGCUAAGAUCCGCGCUGCAGUGUGUUCGUCACGGCCUCCCAUCUCUGGCCCCGGCAACGGCUGGUUCGUCACCGCCUCUCCAGCAUCAGCUAGCGUCCUACUCGACCUCGUCAGCUGCAAGUCGUUGGUGAGCUCCUCGGCUUCUUCCGGACCAGCCCCUGUGACGUGGUGCGAACCUACAAGGUGUCACCAUGGUGGUUAACUUUUCUGGUAAAUACUCCACAAAUUAAUACCCCAUCUCAAUUUUUUGGUGGUUAAUCAUUCACCUGCGAUGGAGUAGAUGUUAACUUGUACUAUUAGCUAGUAAGUACAUUUGUGCUCCAUCUCAAUUUCAUUAGCUAGUAGAUGUAUGAUGCAUAUAGUUCUAUUGUCUUGUACUUGUUCAUGUCAAAUCUGCUUGUGCGUGAAUGAUGCACUUUUGCAACUUCGAUUUGAUGAUGUAUUGCUACUGUUCUUGGUGGUUUGGCAGUCUAAUUUGGACAUUCUGUUUAACUGUUAAGUACU